AACCUGUGCCCCCUGCAGUGGAGGCAUGGCAUCUUAACCACUGGACCGCCAGGGCACAGCCCCUCUCAGAGAACAUGCUCUACCACAUGCCUGGCAGCCGUGGCAGCACAAUUCUCUUGUUCCUGGAGCCCAAGGAGCAAGCAAAGGACCUGGGGCAGCCAGUCUACAGGCUGCCAAAGCUCUAUGAUGGCCGGAAAAGAGCCUGUCAUCAGCUUUGCUGCACACGGCCCUGGAGGAGCUGAGCUGGCCCUUGUUUAAGGAAAGCCAGCAAAUCCACGCAGAUGUUUUUCUGAGAGCUGUUCCGACCAGGGCUCAGGGAUUUCGCCCUGCCUGGUAUCACAUAGCACGCGGGAGGAUGGGACUUCUCACUGUGGAGCAGGAAGUAUAUUACAAGAAAUCAAAAUAAGGACCCUGAUAACGUGUUUCAAGCAUGUGUCAUACCCCUAAGCCAGCACUUCUCCAAUCAGGCCUCAGGCUGAUGUGAAAGCAGCUUGUAACCAACAGGAAGGCAGAAGGUUCAGGAGGAAACCAAAGCUUCCAUCUUGAGAGACUUGAUUCAUCUGCACCCUCCACAGACUAAGCUUCAGAUGUAUCAUAUGCUGACUUCUGCUACAGCUCAGGAUCAUUUUGGACAGAGGUACGAUGAGGUAGGUUGAGCUAAGACGUUUGAAGAGAUUCCAUUUGCUUUAUUAAAAGAAUGAAUUGCAGUCAUCUUGUGUCUUCAUCUGCUGGGGCUGCCAUUACAAAAAUACCACAACUGGGGGACUUAAACAACAGACACUUAUUUUCUCACAGUUCUGGAGGCUGGAAGUCCCAGAUCAAGGAUCCAGCUGAUUCACUUCCUGGAGCUCCAAGGAGAGUGUGAAAGGGCCGCUCCUCUAAUACCCUGGAUUCUAGCCCUGGUUCUGCUGUGAUAAUAGCGGGCGCCCAUUCCACAGGGUAGUAGCAGCUGUGAGGGGAAUAUCAACUGGAGAAAACUUGGCCUCCGGAGAUUUCAGUCUGGGCAUUACCUCUUUGUGCCACCUAGAGAGCUUUAUUCAUAGGUAAGGAAUGUGGCGGCCUGCCCUCUGAGGAAAUGCACCGCCCAAACAUUUUCAUGCAGAUCAUUCAAUAUAUUGCAUGGGAUUUGCUGAGUACGGCUAAGAAAAACAUCUUUUUCCUGGAAGGCAUUACAAUUCUCACAUUUGAAACGUAAUCAUUUGAGAAUCUCAAGGGUCUCUGAUGAUGUGUUAAAAGACAGGUUACAGCAUCCAGGGCACGAGUAGUAGUAAAAAGCCUAACCUGGACUCUGAGAAAGGUUUUACAUGAGGACUUUGGUGCUGCAGAAACAGCACAAAGAGAGCUGUACUGGAUUCAAAACAGACUUGGGCAGCAAUGCCGCUUCUUCAAGGACAGACUUUAAUGAAUAUUCAUUGCAGGCUGCAGUAAGUACUGCUGAUGGUUCACAAAAGUGAAAGCUUGGUUUAAUUCUUAAAACUGAAAGAAACAAAACACUCCCCACCAGUCUUAUCAGCAACCUGCCUCCAUAUUCAUUUUCUCCUCUUUCUCCUGACAUAUGGAUGGGGUGGGCUGCUGGUCUGCUGAGGGGCUUUGAAUGGGAAACACAGCCCCAGGGCUACCAGGGGCUGGAGGGACGCCUGGAGGGAUUUUGGAAGAACUUAUCCUUUGUCUCUGGAUCCGAAGACUGGUGCCUCCCUGUCAUGUGGGAAGCCCGAAGGUGGGAGGUGGGCUGGUGCCUCCUGUGAUGCAAAGACACAGGCAAGGAAUUGCAGGGGAAGCAGCUCCGUGUCCGCCAAUAGUGAUGCAGCCUGACUGAGCUUUCCCUUUGGCUGAGGGGUCAGCACUGAGGCGUCAGUUAAAGAGCGACUGCCUUCCAGGGUGAGGUGACCCAGAGGAAAGGGUGGGGGGGGGGCGGGGUGCAGUGGUGUCCCAGCGGAAAGUCAGCACUGGGGUGUCUGCCACACAGCAUGCACCAACCCCAGUGUCAACAGCACCAGGCAAGGCCACCCUCAUCUCUUCCUUUCUUUCCACCCAAACUCAUCGGAAGGAAGGUGGAGCAGGGCACAAAGACAGCCCAGCAGCCUGCUGCAGGUUCUGAGCCUUCUGUGGGCAAGGGGAGAAGCUUCGAAAUGGGUGGCUACAGUGCAAGGAGCCGUAGAAACCUAAGGAAAUUCAGACUGGUCAUCAGAGACCACAGGGGCCGACUUUCCGAGUCACUUGACUUUACUGCUCAGUAUCAAAAGAUGAUCACCAAGUAACAAGUUGUGCCUGUUUCCUCUUGGCGUCCAGCAGCCUCAGUUUCUCUCCCUCUCAUUGUAAACACACAGAAGAGGGAGACUUUCUCUGAGCAAUGGUGAGUAUAACAUUCCCGGAACCAGAGCCCUCAGUCAGUGCCUUUUGAGGGUGGUGGGAACGGUGGAAGGUUGUGACAAUGAGCUCUUACGGUUUCUAUACACGUCCAGGGGAUCUUGUUUCAGGUGAGGGGGGUCACUGAUGGGCUGCAUGCACUUUGUCUCGAGAUGCUCAUUCAGACCCGAGUACCAAGGUGAUGUGUCAGUGUGGACAGCAGGAGAGCUUCUCCCUAUGAUAUUUUAUGCCGAAUGUAACGUGAAGAAGGCUCACUGGCUGAGUGGGGAGGACACGGAGACCCAAUCCUGUUAAAAGGCCUCCAUCUUCCAAGUGGGUUCUGAGGACUGGAAACAGAGGAAGGGUUUUCUGAUGCUUAAUGACAGGACGUAUCCCCACCGCAGGGUGAGACCAUGGCAGUGAAUUCCUGAAAGAUGGUUUAAUCUUAUACUCACUCACCACUUAGUAGACCACCUAGCACAUAGUGGGCCAUCAAUAUAUGCGUGGAAUGAAUGAAUGAAUCCAUCUUGCUUCCUUGGCACUUGUAGGCCUAUUGCUUAGACGUGUCCAGAUGUCUCAUCCGUACACGCAGCCAUGACCCCCCAGUGAUAAGUUCCAUAAAUAAGUGUGUCCCUCCCUCUGCCACCAUCUCCCUGUAAUGCCGUCUUGGAGCACGUGAUGUGAGCCCCUCCUGAAAGGAAAGGAUGUUCCCUUUCUCACCUGUAAUAGCAUCCCUCUGAGUGCAGCUUUCUCUGAUGGAGAGUUCCAGAGUUGUCUCUCCACUGUAGUCACUGGACCCUUCACAUGCACUCUGGAGUCUAGACUGUGAGCUCCUUAGGACAGAGCCAGACUCUUAUUUAUCCCACCUCCAGCUUCAGCCCACUGAGCACAUUCAACCAGCAACAAUUAAUUAUGAACGUGUCAUAGAGCAAAUCUAGUAGCCUGGGAAAGGAUUUACCUAUGUUCAGUCAACCUAAUGGCGUUUAUUACAAAACCUCGGGAGUUCUGAGGAACAGGCUCCAUGUCCUGGAAGCUGGCAGGACAGAAAGCCCACCACCAGCCUGCAGGGAUUCAGCAGGUAGCUGGCUGCCCAGCAGAGACAAGGCGGGGCAGGAGUUAAGAGCAAGGGCUCCUGAGCCAACCCGCCUGAGCUUGCAGCCUGGCUCUGCCCCAGGAGUCCUCUGGCCUUAGGGAGGCCGUAUGAUCUCAGUGGGCCUCGAUUUUCUCUUCUGUAAAGUGGGGGAAUUAUCAUUGAGGAGGCUAAAUAAGCUCAUUUUGGUAAAGGGCUCAAACCAUUGCCUGACACACACUUACUCUGCAAGAUAUUAGCUACGGUAAUUUUCUCAUCGUGAAUGAGGGACGUGGUCUUCAAUGCCACGGAAGGGAACUGUUAGGUCUGAAAAAGAGACUUUGGGUUCAACCUGCUGAACCCAGUCCCAUGUGGGGCUCUGAUCAACCCUCUAACCGCCCCCACUCUCCACAUCACAUGCUCCGGCAUGUCUAGGACCAGCUUUCUCAGUGCACAUCUGGCCCCAUCACCGGCCCCCUCAAGGCUGCUGGCUCGGCACCCUGCCUGGGGUGGUCUCCGUCACGGCUCCCCAUCCACCCCUUCCCUCAUCCCAGGCUCCAGAACACGUGGCCUCCUGAGCUUGCACACACACAGGGCACUGUCUGGACUGGCUCCUUCCCCACCCAGCCUCACCCGCAUCUGCUUGCAUGGCCAGCGAGCCCCUGUUAUUCCUUCAGAGCCCACUUAAGGUGUCGCCUUGUUUGUGACACUGCCUUAAAUGCUGUCAUGGGCUGAACUGUGUCCCGCCACAUUCAUAUGUUGAAGUCCUAACCCCCAGCACCUCAGAAUGUGACUGUAUUUUGUACUAGGGCCUUUAAAAAAGGUGACUAAGUUAAAAUGAGGCCGUUAAGGUGGGUCCUGAUCCACUCGGACUGGUGUCCUUACAAGAAGAGGAAAUUUGCACACACAGAGGGACGACCAUGAGAGGACACACUGAGAAGGCGGCCCUCUGCACGCCACGGAAGGAGAUCUCAUGAGAAAGCAAACCUGCCAACAUCUGGACCUUAGACUUCCAGCUUCCAGUACUGCAAGAAUAAAUUCCUGUUGCUUAAGCCACCUGGCCUGUGGCAUUUGGGUAUGGCCGCCCCAGGGAAACGAAUUCAGAUGCCCGAAGAACAGCCUUGGUUUGGGUUUUCAACAUACACAUACCAUCUGUCACACUGGCAGCUCCCAUCAGGCCGGGCUCAGAGACUCUCCUGGCUGUUUACCCUGCACCCAUGCAGCUAUUGUAAACGUGUCCAUAAAUAUCAUGGUCAGGAACUUCUCAGCCUUUUCCACCAAAGGACCUGCUGGAGGCACACGAGCACGUUGGCUGUCGGUGUCUAGGGGCGUAUUCUCCUCCAGACUGCAUUAUUUUUAAAUGUGUGUAAAUGCUGCAUUCUACUCUACAGAAGGUUUUGCUAGAAACACGCUUUAAGUGGUAUGUGACUGGUUAAAAUUACUUAACUGGUUGGAGUCCGCACACUUGGAGUACAACUGGCCUCUGAGGACCUGUGCCAAGGUGUCCUGUGACUUUUAAUGCCUCCUGAUAGAGGACAUGCUUAUGAGUAUGAGUUCGUGGGCAAGCAGUCCCAGUGGACGGAAGGUGGAGGGAAGGACGUGCCAGUAACUGUUUACGGAGAACAUGGAUGGGGGGUCUGAGGACACCCGGAUACAAGGCUAUACCACAUACGCUGCGGAGAAGGUGGGAAGACCCCUGAGUUGGCAGACACUGCGCCUGGGAAUGGUUGCCAGCAAAUGGACCGUGCUUUACAGAAGAGAUGGGGAAGGUGCCAGGACGCCCACAGUUUUGGGUGCCUACCAGCAACCCGUGACCAGGCAAAACCAGACGCUGAGUGCCUGGAGAAAGUGGGUGACAUUGCUAAUCUGUAAAAUGUGUAGAAUAACACUUAUCUCAUAGGAUUAUUUUAGAGUUAAUUGAAAAUGCAUGCAAAAGGGCUUAGCACAUUAGCACUAAAUAGUAAGUGGGAAUCGUUAUUAUAAUCAUUAUUACCCUAUGAAUAUUCAUCAUUUUUACUGCCACAAAUACUCAGAAGGGAAUUGCCCUUGUAGAAGUUGCUGUGUUCGGUGUAAAGAACGUGACUGUCCCGGGUAAAAAGAACUCAGGAAACCGAGCCCUAAAUAACGUGAAAGACAAAUUUCCAUCUUGACCAGAAAUGAUCUGGGGAAGAAUGAAAGGGAACAAAAAUGGUUGAAAUUAUCAUUGUGAAAUGGCUUGAAAUUUCCAACACCUACUUUCAUAAGUGGAAAAAAAUCCGCGUACUAACCACUAUUUUUAUUUAGUAUUUGUCAGGCACUUUGUAAACACUCUGUUGUUCAACCACAAGACCCUACAAGAUAGGCAUUGCUCUCAGAGAACUGUGUAGACCCUGUCAGAAUCACUGCCCUUAUCAACCAUGGUCAUUCACUCAGGCUUCCCCUUAGCGCCUGGAGCUGGGGCCCGAACCCAAUAACGGGGUGCCUGACGCCGUGGUUUUUUCCACCCCAAUUCAGAGCAAGGAAGCUUGUAUGACCCCCUCCCCAUCUUGCCCUCUGUUACCAUCCAGGAGGCAGUGGAGCAGAGAGCAGAAGUGACUGGGCUUUGGGUCAGACUUGGCCAGGGGUCAAGUGGCAGCACGACCUUGGACAGGCUGGCCCCACUCCCCAAGCCUCAGUCUCCUCACAGCUAAAUGAGGACAGUGGGAUUACCUUCCACGUGAGCUGCAUUUUUUAUAGCAUGACAUCCAACUCUACGGCUGGCACAUAAUAAGCAUUAAAAAAUUUAAAGGGUCGUUGUUAUUCAAAUACUGUAGAAUAACCAGAUAUUUAUGUAACCAGAACCUCUUCCUUAGCACCAGGUCCCGCAAUGAGCUCUCAGAUCUGAUGAAGCUACAUUGCAAAAUAUCUUCUUGACUGCCACCCAUAAGUGAGUCAGAACUCAUUUCCAGGUGGCUCUGGCUAACACCUAUUUUAAUUGCCUUCAGACUAUAUACCUCCCAGGUUUAAAAAGUUGCCUAAGGUCUUAUACAAGGUCCAGGGCCAGGUACUGUUAUGAAGGCCAGGUGGUCAAUUACACAAUUAUUUUAAAAUCUGGCUCACACCCUCCUUGCCCACGGCAAUGUCGAAGCUGGGGAUAACAGGCAGGAGAACAGAAGAUUUUAAUGACAAGGCAGGAGAACCUCAUGGUGACAUUUCCUGUUUGUUUCUUAUUUAGGAAUUUUUCUAGCCAUGCAUCCAUCCUGGACUUUCAGAAAUUGAGAAAUCCCCCUGGACGUCCCUGGCACUGUGAUACAGCUCAAUCCCCCUUGCACCAGAAUUUACCAAGUUAUUUCUGGGAGGGUUUCUGUGUGUAUUUCCCUGGGUACCAUCGAGAUAGUCAGCAUACAUGGGUGGCCUUCAGAGGAAAGGAGGGCAAAGAAAGGAAGAGAGGCUGGGUCCAGGGAAGAGAAGUGGCCCAUGCAAAAAGAAAGCCAGGGAGAGACACAUAGAGUUCAUUGUGAAAGAAGCAAAACUCUUCUUCCACGAUGUAAAUACGGGUGAGUGCUGAGGGCACAUCUGAGGCAACCGUUUUUCUAUGCACCUUGCAAAUUAUUCUGUGGUUUCUGCAGUUAUCCUGUUGGGUGAGAGUUUUAAGGACCACCUAAGCCCAUCCCAGCUCAGCUCCUGGGAAUUGAUGAGCACACUGGAUGAGCACCACUUUGUACAAGUUCCAUCCAUCCAAAGAAUGAAGGCUGGGACGCUUCUCACGCCCAGACACAUCCCUGCACAUUGGCUCUGCUGCCGCGUGCAUCAGCUGGCGAUGACUGGGGAAAUAAUCCGUAAAAUAAGUGAUAUUAUGUAGACAAAAGAGCGGAGUUAAUGUUUCUCUUUUAAACAUCAUGUAGACCCAGAUUUAGUCAAAAGGCUUUUGUUGAGUCCCUUCAAUGCACAUAACAUGGUGCCCUUCUGCAGGACCUGCCCUCAAGGAAGGGGCUGGAAGGAAGGAGCCUCAAGUCGGGUCCAGCACGCAUGCGCCACACAGACAGCAAGCGAUCACGUUGUAAUUACAAGCGUGUGUUGGGGGUGACCUGUGGGACGACUGGUGGGCACUUUCUGUCUCCUUCGGUGUGUAAGAAUCAAUCAAAAGUAAGGAGAGAGGGGACACCGGCCAGCAAAGGCACCCAUGUCCGGCAUCUUUCCUUUGAAGCCAGAACUCCUUUGACCUCGGGAGUCAUUGAUUUGCUGUCAAGCCCCAAAGGUGUCACAGAGGGGUCAUCAGAGAUGGCUAUAAGGGGAAUGUUUUCUUAGCCGGUAAAGUUAUCAAGACUGGGAAACCGAAGCAGCCCCAGAACUCAACGUGGUCUUCUGCGUCCCCCUUUCACCUGGUUCCCCUUUGAAGGUAAAUCUAGAGCAGACAUGAAAUCGGUUAGUGGGCUGGGAGAGGAAGAACAUAGGUAAGCCUGUGUUUCACCCCUUGGAACAGGUUUUCAAGACUUCUUAGCUGAGAUGAAGGGUAACUAUAAGGGAACAGAAUGUUCCACCAGGGCUUUGAAGCUGGGUUAGAGGUCCAGGUCGGGCAAUGUGUGAAUAUCACACAGCAAAAUGCAGCCAGGAGAGAAACCACAGUGCUCACGUGAUGAAUUAUCAGAAGAGUAGCAGGUGAGGCAAGAAUAUGGAGCUGUGUGCCUGCAGAAACAAGGCUCCCAAGAAAAUGUGUGAAGUGCUGAAUAGGAAACCUUUGUAAGUGAGGCCAGAACUGAAGUGCCUAGAGGAACUCUGUAGAAGGUUUGGGGCUCUGACUAAGCAUUUCCAAACCUCAAGUCAUAAAUUCUUGUCCAUCAAAAACCCAAGACGCGAAAGUAAGUCAGGAAUGACCCACACAAAGGACUACACACUCGCUUGGUUCCCAGACGCUACAUAAAGCUAAGCUCUAUGGAUUCCAUUCAGGCAGUCUAGAAUGGAGGGCCUGGUACAGGCACGAGCCUGAGUUACAAGGGAAACCAUGGAAGAAAAGGUCUCUGACUCUCAGACGUUUAAAACAAUAUCUCCAUCCAGACUUCCUAAGUGGCCAUUCCAGAGCAACAGAUCCUGAUGGAAAACUGUUGAACACGAUUAACCUUUUAGUCCCAGAGCACAACUGCAUUAUUUUUGUAACCCUAAAGUUUUUAUCAUCAAUGUGAGAAAGUUAAUUUUUAAAGGCUAUAGAUCCCCCAUUCCCUAUGCUUCUGAAGGAUGUCACGUCAAAUUUCCAGUCUGCAGGAGAGGGUCGCAAACCCAGCCCUGAGCCAGCACGGACCACUCAUCCAUUCAAAUGAACCGAGGCCGCGAUCCCUGAGGAAUAUUAACUUCCUGGCUUGAAAAGGAGAUACUGCCAGUUGCAGGCAUCAUGUAACAUCUUCCAGUAAAGCAGCUUUCCCCAAAAUGUGUUCCACGGUAUUUUGCAAUAUUAGCAUUCUACCAUCAGACAAAUUUGGGAAGCAUGGGGUUAAACUGAGUUCAAAGUUGUCUUAGGUGUCAUUAAUGUAUACUGUGAAUCUCCAAGCAGAGCAGGCAGCAUCUUUCAAUCUUACGUGACCAGGGAACCCUUUCCUAAUAAAAAUGACUCGCAAGGACAAGGGCUCCAUGGAGCGCUCCUGCAGACCCCAUGCCUCUGACAGGAGAGGGGGCUUCACAGGGACCCCCGAUGAGCCAGCCCCUGGCAGCCCUGAGUGACUCUGAGAAGCUUUCCUUGUUACAAGCAUGUCCAUGGCGAAUGUUCAGAAUGUUUUCUCUAAAUACGUUUUCUCGUGUUCUCGAGACUUCUUUUCUACUCAGGUCCCUCGUGAGGGAGCAGAGCUUGGUCUCUGGGGUCCGUCUGCAGUCCCGUGUCGCUUGUUACUUUAUGUCACACGUAGCUGAGCAGCCAGCUGGGAACAAUUCAUUCUUCGCCUCUGAGGGGACGAUGUGAUGUGGGAUGCAGACUGGAUCCUUCAAAGGGCCACUCUGUACAGAGAAAAACACGGUCCUAAGUCCCACACUGCUGAACCCACAAUUCUAAAGAAGAGCCUGGCCUCCAGGGGUGACGGGGGCAGAGACCACUGGUGACUGAGCACCUCCUGUAACCAACCACCCCUGGAAAAACAGCUCCA